CCCCGCCCCGCCCCCCGGCCGCGUGCGCCGCCCCGGAAGCCCGGGCUGCACCGGCGCCGCGCGCGGGGUUCCCCCCUGCCCCUCUGGCUGGGAGGGCAGGGUGGUGUCAGGUCGCCCGCCGCUCUUGGGCCUCCUCGGCUCCCUUCCUCCUUCCUUGCGGUCUUCAUGCACAGCUGCCUCGGUCCCCCGCUUCUGGAAUUCACAGCCCAGAUGUGGAUAGGCUUUACCCCACUCAUCCUUACAAUGUGGGUCAUGAGCCCAGAGCCUUAAGCUACGUGUUAGGAGGGCCCCAGGAUGUAGGAUUCAGCAUUGCUCUUUUUGACCUUAGGCCCUACUGCGGCCUCGCCUGGACGUUUUGUCACCUGGCCCUGGUGCCUCCAGACAGAACCAGGACGCAUAGAUCAUCUUCUCAGGUAAUAUGAUCCUGACCAGAGGGAGAUGGGUUGGGGCAUCUAUUCUAGUCCCCACCUGCCAGAAUAGGUGUCAGGUGGCUCCUCACCACUCUACAUCAUUAGUGUGUACAAUGGACACAGCAUUAUCUGAACUUCCAUGGCUCUAUGUAAAGCAUUCCAUUGUAUUUUAAUAAUUACGCAAGACAAGGCCUCUUUCACAUAAGGCAAAUAAGUGUGAUUGAUUCAGACUUCUGGCAUUACUGGGCCAUGCUGCCGCAAGAAACAGGUGCAUGUGGAAUCAAGCCUGACGGAGUUAUUGGUGUGCAGAAAAAAAAAAAGGAUUACUACUUAUCUGGUUUUUAAAGAUGAGAGUGUUUUAUCUGAUGCCCUGACCAAAUGAAACAACAACCUAGACUGAAGCAGGGAACAUUCGCUGGACAUUUCAGGCACUGUGCUAGGCUCUACAGUGAAGCAUUCACAGUCUAGUGGUGUCUAUAAAUAAAACCAAAAUGCUAACUUUUAAAUUCCUAUGAGGAAUAUAAUUGUAAUGCCACUAUAGCUGCAUCACUACCAUGGGGUCAUUCUCUCCCUACAGACAGAUCAAUAAACAAAAUCAAAUUACAAUCCAAAGGAAGCAAGAAUCCAGGAACCCAUGAGAUUCUUUGGUGCCUACAAAUUCUGAUCUCCUUUAAAGGUCAUGAAAACUGUGAGAACCCCAUUAGAGCUAAAUGAGUUUUAAGGUUUCAAAAAUCUUAGGGCCCAGGCCCAGCUAAAGCACUUUAGGCACAAAGGAAACUCUGCCAUCCAGAGGGGAAAAGGGUCUGAUUUUUUCUCAUCUGUAAUAUGAGGAAAUUUGUUACCAGUGGCAAAUCUGUACACAUCUGCAGCAACCUCAAGUCUUGUCUCCUCAGAAGAAAGAAUUGAACUGAGGGGCAUAAGGCAGAAGGAGAGACUGAGGCAAUUGAAAAUUAAGCUCAGGGUCUGAGUUCUGGGAUGUUCACCAGUACCAAGGAGUCAGAAUGGAGCACUUACUAUGUCAUAGGCACUGAACCACAAGCCUUCUGCAGGAAUGAUCUCAUUUAAUUCUUACAGCAAUCCUAUGAGAUAAGUAGUACUGAUAUUACCAUUUUACUAAUUAGAAACUUGAAGCUUGGCGAGGUUAAAUAAUAUGUCCAAAGUUGCAGAAUGAUUCAGUAGCAGAGGCUCAUUGAGGGGCAAACAAGAUCAAUCCAAUCCCAUUCCUGUGUGAAGAAGACAGACAUUAAACAAUUAACCAAAUAAAUAAUUGAUGAUAGCUGUAAUGAGUGCUAUGACAGGUGCUGAGCCAAGGCAUAACUUCUGUUCUGAGGGUUCAAGGAAAGCAUUGUUCCCUGACAAAAUGACAUUCAGUCAUGGACUCCCACAGUGCUUAGGAGCUGGCAAGGCAAAGGCUUGGGUAGGAUGGUUGGGAUGAAAGUAAGAAUGAGGAGUGAACAGUAUUCUAGCUGGGAGGGUCCAAAGUGGGAAGGGGCAUGGCAGACCAUGGAACUGAGAGAAGGCCAGCAGGCAGGCUGCAAAGAGGGUGAGGGAGGAGGCAGCACCAGAUGAGAUUGGAAAGCCAGGUUGGGGUGUCAUGAUAGAGGCUUUGUAGCCAUGAGAAAAUGUUGGGCCAGGCCAGGUGUGGUGGCUCACACCUGUAAUCUCAGCACUUUGGGAAGCCUAGGCAGGAGGAUUGCUUCAGGCCAGGAGUUUGAGACCAGCUUGGACAACAUUAUGAGACCUCAUUUCUACAAA
rnacentral:lncRNA from 1 species